UACGUAGGGGCCUAGCGUUGUCCGGAUUUAUUGGGCGUAAAGAGCGUGUAGGCGGUCCGGUAAGUCCGCUGUGAAAGUCGGGGGCUCAACCCUCGAAUGCCGGUGGAUACUGUCGGGCUAGAGUGCGGAAGAGGCGAGUGGAAUUCCUGGUGUAGCGGUGAAAUGCGCAGAUAUCAGGAGGAACACCUAUUGCGAAGGCAGCUCGCUGGGACGUAACUGACGCUGAGACGCGAAAGCGUGGGGAGCAAACAGG
rnacentral:rRNA from 1 species